UCACCGCCAAGAUUUUGAAGACAUCCAAGUUCCCUUUAUUUUUUUUUUCUUUUUCCUUCUUCAAUUUGCAGAGAACUUCUAAGAGAGAGUUUGGAAGAAGAAGAGAAAUUUUACUAGAAUUUUUAGGUUGAACAAGAGGAGGAGAACUCAAGCAAAGUGUAUCAAUGGCUGAAUUUUAGUUCAUUCUGCACAUCACUGGUUUUUAAUUCGGUUUGAACUCUUCAAAAGCAAUUCAGAGAAUACAGGGCAGUUGGUUUUCACUCGAAAUCAGGAGGUCUCUGGUUUUUCUUGUAUUUCAGAGUGUAUCGGUGUAGUUAGAAUCUCUAUUUGGAACAAGUUAAAGAGGUCGUGUGCACGCGAUUCUGGAAGUGGUUCUGUUUUGAGGUUUAUAUGUGUUUAUGCACGGGGAAUCAGAUUUAUAUGUCGUCGGGCCGAGAAGAAUUAAACCGAGCUUAUAGACCAAGGAUCUAGCCCAAGACUGUGAGUGACAAAACCAACUUUGAAAUAUUUUCCAUAACUGUUAUUAUGAUUGAAUGCGAUAAAUGUUUAUUUACGAAGCCAUGAAAGGUAUUUGAAUUUCAUGACUAUUUUCAAGUAUACAUUUGGAGACUAGAUUUCUUAAAGAAAUUUAUGCUAGCACGUAGAUAUUAAAUGUUUGGAAAGUAUUUAAACCACAAUAUUUUAAGCAAAGCAUGAAUUAGUAUGAAGUUUUGUUUUAAGAACUACAAUUUUCCAGGAAAGAGCUGAGUAAAGUUCGAGCUUUGUGUAAAAUUUAUAAGCAGGCAUGUUUUAAUAUUUUAUGAUGAUUUAUGAAAUUUUCAUUAACUACAUGACUGAGAUCUUGAGCCUGAGGCUAGAGAUUACCGUGUGCACACUGGUUAGAUUUCAUUGUUGAUGUUGAGUGUACUCCGUAACAACGAUGCUGUCGUGAGUGCUGGGCGGGCCCCACUACGACAAAGACGAUGGGAGUGCUGGGCGGGCCCCACUACAUCGUAGUGCUUGUAAACGUUGUUGUACUAGGUGUACCCUACACAACGUAGAUUCGUCAUGUUAGUUAAAAUGCUUCGAUAUACUUGAUAUGCCUUGCUAGAUUUCAAUUAUGAACAUGCUGAGUAUUUAAGGAAGCUAUUCUUACUAUUACACAUUUACAUUUACGACUUGUAUAAACAGAUUUAUAUGUGUAAAGUUUUCACGUGCUCUUAUCUUUAAAUUCAUAGUUUUAAAUCGAGUCACUCACUGAGCUUCAUAGCUCACCCUUUCCAAAAUGUUUUACCCA